rnacentral:lncRNA from 1 species
ACAAACUUUUUGAUCGGUACAUCAAUUUUUUUUUAAAAAAAAUACUUGGUUCAACUCGGUUCUUAAGCAUAAUCAAGUGCCUAAAUGCUAAAUACUAACUUAUUUGAGAAUUUUUAAAAAUUUUAUUAUUAUUAUUAUUCUUUCUUCUAACUUAAUUGACAUUGUUUUCAAUGGAGUAGAAAAAAUAAAGUAUGAUAGAUAAAGAGGA